UUAAGCGACUAAGCGUACACGGUGGAUGCCCUGGCAGUCAGAGGCGAUGAAGGACGUGCUAAUCUGCGAUAAGCGUCGGUAAGGUGAUAUGAACCGUUAUAACCGGCGAUUUCCGAAUGGGGAAACCCAGUGUGAUUCGUCACACUAUCAUUAACUGAAUCCAUAGGUUAAUGAGGCGAACCGGGGGAACUGAAACAUCUAAGUACCCCGAGGAAAAGAAAUCAACCGAGAUUCCCCCAGUAGCGGCGAGCGAACGGGGAGCAGCCCAGAGCCUGAAUCAGUGUGUGUGUUAGUGGAAGCGUCUGGAAAGGCGUGCGAUACAGGGUGACAGCCCCGUACACAAAAAUGCACAUACUGUGAGCUCGAUGAGUAGGGCGGGACACGUGGUAUCCUGUCUGAAUAUGGGGGGACCAUCCUCCAAGGCUAAAUACUCCUGACUGACCGAUAGUGAACCAGUACCGUGAGGGAAAGGCGAAAAGAACCCCGGCGAGGGGAGUGAAAAAGAACCUGAAACCGUGUACGUACAAGCAGUGGGAGCACGCUUAGGCGUGUGACUGCGUACCUUUUGUAUAAUGGGUCAGCGACUUAUAUUCUGUAGCAAGGUUAACCGAAUAGGGGAGCCGAAGGGAAACCGAGUCUUAACUGGGCGUUAAGUUGCAGGGUAUAGACCCGAAACCCGGUGAUCUAGCCAUGGGCAGGUUGAAGGUUGGGUAACACUAACUGGAGGACCGAACCGACUAAUGUUGAAAAAUUAGCGGAUGACUUGUGGCUGGGGGUGAAAGGCCAAUCAAACCGGGAGAUAGCUGGUUCUCCCCGAAAGCUAUUUAGGUAGCGCCUCGUGAAUUCAUCUCCGGGGGUAGAGCACUGUUUCGGCAAGGGGGUCAUCCCGACUUACCAACCCGAUGCAAACUGCGAAUACCGGAGAAUGUUAUCACGGGAGACACACGGCGGGUGCUAACGUCCGUCGUGAAGAGGGAAACAACCCAGACCGCCAGCUAAGGUCCCAAAGUCAUGGUUAAGUGGGAAACGAUGUGGGAAGGCCCAGACAGCCAGGAUGUUGGCUUAGAAGCAGCCAUCAUUUAAAGAAAGCGUAAUAGCUCACUGGUCGAGUCGGCCUGCGCGGAAGAUGUAACGGGGCUAAACCAUGCACCGAAGCUGCGGCAGCGACGCUUAUGCGUUGUUGGGUAGGGGAGCGUUCUGUAAGCCUGCGAAGGUGUGCUGUGAGGCAUGCUGGAGGUAUCAGAAGUGCGAAUGCUGACAUAAGUAACGAUAAAGCGGGUGAAAAGCCCGCUCGCCGGAAGACCAAGGGUUCCUGUCCAACGUUAAUCGGGGCAGGGUGAGUCGACCCCUAAGGCGAGGCCGAAAGGCGUAGUCGAUGGGAAACAGGUUAAUAUUCCUGUACUUGGUGUUACUGCGAAGGGGGGACGGAGAAGGCUAUGUUGGCCGGGCGACGGUUGUCCCGGUUUAAGCGUGUAGGCUGGUUUUCCAGGCAAAUCCGGAAAAUCAAGGCUGAGGCGUGAUGACGAGGCACUACGGUGCUGAAGCAACAAAUGCCCUGCUUCCAGGAAAAGCCUCUAAGCAUCAGGUAACAUCAAAUCGUACCCCAAACCGACACAGGUGGUCAGGUAGAGAAUACCAAGGCGCUUGAGAGAACUCGGGUGAAGGAACUAGGCAAAAUGGUGCCGUAACUUCGGGAGAAGGCACGCUGAUAUGUAGGUGAAGUCCCUCGCGGAUGGAGCUGAAAUCAGUCGAAGAUACCAGCUGGCUGCAACUGUUUAUUAAAAACACAGCACUGUGCAAACACGAAAGUGGACGUAUACGGUGUGACGCCUGCCCGGUGCCGGAAGGUUAAUUGAUGGGGUCAGCGCAAGCGAAGCUCUUGAUCGAAGCCCCGGUAAACGGCGGCCGUAACUAUAACGGUCCUAAGGUAGCGAAAUUCCUUGUCGGGUAAGUUCCGACCUGCACGAAUGGCGUAAUGAUGGCCAGGCUGUCUCCACCCGAGACUCAGUGAAAUUGAACUCGCUGUGAAGAUGCAGUGUACCCGCGGCAAGACGGAAAGACCCCGUGAACCUUUACUAUAGCUUGACACUGAACAUUGAGCCUUGAUGUGUAGGAUAGGUGGGAGGCUUUGAAGUGUGGACGCCAGUCUGCAUGGAGCCGACCUUGAAAUACCACCCUUUAAUGUUUGAUGUUCUAACGUUGACCCGUGAUCCGGGUUGCGGACAGUGUCUGGUGGGUAGUUUGACUGGGGCGGUCUCCUCCUAAAGAGUAACGGAGGAGCACGAAGGUUGGCUAAUCCUGGUCGGACAUCAGGAGGUUAGUGCAAUGGCAUAAGCCAGCUUGACUGCGAGCGUGACGGCGCGAGCAGGUGCGAAAGCAGGUCAUAGUGAUCCGGUGGUUCUGAAUGGAAGGGCCAUCGCUCAACGGAUAAAAGGUACUCCGGGGAUAACAGGCUGAUACCGCCCAAGAGUUCAUAUCGACGGCGGUGUUUGGCACCUCGAUGUCGGCUCAUCACAUCCUGGGGCUGAAGUAGGUCCCAAGGGUAUGGCUGUUCGCCAUUUAAAGUGGUACGCGAGCUGGGUUUAGAACGUCGUGAGACAGUUCGGUCCCUAUCUGCCGUGGGCGCUGGAGAACUGAGGGGGGCUGCUCCUAGUACGAGAGGACCGGAGUGGACGCAUCACUGGUGUUCGGGUUGUCAUGCCAAUGGCACUGCCCGGUAGCUAAAUGCGGAAGAGAUAAGUGCUGAAAGCAUCUAAGCACGAAACUUGCCCCGAGAUGAGUUCUCCCUGACUCCUUGAGAGUCCUGAAGGAACGUUGAAGACGACGACGUUGAUAGGCCGGGUGUGUAAGCGCAGCGAUGCGUUGAGCUAACCGGUACUAAUGAACCGUGAGGCUUAACCUU
rnacentral:rRNA from 1 species